GGUUCGGCCCCAUGCAACGCUCAGUCAUGGGCAACGGGUCAGGUGGGAAACCAAGCAGCCCACUCGUGUCAGACCGUGUGCCGUGGCAAGCCGAGCCGGA
rnacentral:SRP_RNA from 1 species